rnacentral:rRNA from 1 species
UACGUAGGGGGCAAGCGUUGUCCGGAUUUAUUGGGCGUAAAGAGCGUGUAGGCGGCCACACAGGUCAGCUGUGAAGACUCGAGGCUCAACCUCGAGACGUCGGUUGAAACCGUAUGGCUAGAGUCCGGAAGAGGAGAGUGGAAUUCCCGGUGUAGCGGUGAAAUGCGCAGAUAUCGGGAAGAACACCCGUGGCGACGGCGGCUCUCUGGGACGGUACUGACGCUGAGACGCGAAAGCGUGGGGAGCGAACAGG